rnacentral:rRNA from 1 species
ACUAAGCGUACACGGUGGAUGCCCUGGCAGUCAGAGGCGAUGAAGGGCGUGCUAAUCUGCGAUAAGCGCCGGUAAGGUGAUAUGAACCGUUAUAACCGGCGAUACCCGAAUGGGGAAACCCAGUGUGACUCGUCACACUAUCAUUAACUGAAUCCAUAGGUUAAUGAGGCGAACCGGGGGAACUGAAACAUCUAAGUACCCCGAGGAAAAGAAAUCAACCGAGAUUCCCCCAGUAGCGGCGAGCGAACGGGGAGGAGCCCAGAGCCUGAAUCAGCAUGUGUGUUAGUGGAAGCGUCUGGAAAGGCGCGCGAUACAGGGUGACAGCCCCGUACACAAAAGCGCAUGUGCUGUGAGCUCGAUGAGUAGGGCGGGACACGUGGUAUCCUGUCUGAAUAUGGGGGGACCAUCCUCCAAGGCUAAAUACUCCUGACUGACCGAUAGUGAACCAGUACCGUGAGGGAAAGGCGAAAAGAACCCCGGCGAGGGGAGUGAAAAAGAACCUGAAACCGUGUACGUACAAGCAGUGGGAGCCCCACCACCAAAGCAUUCUCUGGUGUUGAAGGCCCUGCAAAGCAGCAUCGCGGUGGCGGAGCGUCGUUUGCGACGCCCAACACACAAAACAAGCGGUGAGUGCUUUGGGGUGGGGUGACUGCGUACCUUUUGUAUAAUGGGUCAGCGACUUAUAUUCUGUAGCAAGGUUAACCGAAUAGGGGAGCCGGAGGGAAACCGAGUCUUAAUUGGGCGUUAAGUUGCAGGGUAUAGACCCGAAACCCGGUGAUCUAGCCAUGGGCAGGUUGAAGGUUGGGUAACACUAACUGGAGGACCGAACCGACUAAUGUUGAAAAAUUAGCGGAUGACCUGUGGCUGGGGGUGAAAGGCCAAUCAAACCGGGAGAUAGCUGGUUCUCCCCGAAAGCUAUUUAGGUAGCGCCUCGUGAAUUCAUCUCCGGGGGUAGAGCACUGUUUCGGCUAGGGGGCCAUCCCGGCUUACCAACCCGAUGCAAACUGCGAAUACCGGAGAAUGUUAUCACGGGAGACACACGGCGGGUGCUAACGUCCGUCGUGAAGAGGGAAACAACCCAGACCGCCAGCUAAGGUCCCAAAGUCAUGGUUAAGUGGGAAACGAUGUGGGAAGGCCCAGACAGCCAGGAUGUUGGCUUAGAAGCAGCCAUCAUUUAAAGAAAGCGUAAUAGCUCACUGGUCGAGUCGGCCUGCGCGGAAGAUGUAACGGGGCUAAACCAUGCACCGAAGCUGCGGCAGCGACACUGUGUGUUGUUGGGUAGGGGAGCGUUCUGUAAGCCUGUGAAGGUGGCCUGUGAGGGUUGCUGGAGGUAUCAGAAGUGCGAAUGCUGACAUAAGUAACGAUAAAGCGGGUGAAAAGCCCGCUCGCCGGAAGACCAAGGGUUCCUGUCCAACGUUAAUCGGGGCAGGGUGAGUCGACCCCUAAGGCGAGGCCGAAAGGCGUAGUCGAUGGGAAACGGGUUAAUAUUCCCGUACUUGGUGUUACUGCGAAGGGGGGACGGAGAAGGCUAUGUUGGCCGGGCGACGGUUGUCCCGGUUUAAGCGUGUAGGUGUGUGUUCCAGGUAAAUCCGGUUCACUUUAACACUGAGGCGUGACGACGAGGCACUACGGUGCUGAAGCAACAAAUGCCCUGCUUCCAGGAAAAGCCUCUAAGCAUCAGGUAACAUCAAAUCGUACCCCAAACCGACACAGGUGGUCAGGUAGAGAAUACCAAGGCGCUUGAGAGAACUCGGGUGAAGGAACUAGGCAAAAUGGUGCCGUAACUUCGGGAGAAGGCACGCUGACACGUAGGUGAAGUGAUUUACUCAUGGAGCUGAAGUCAGUCGAAGAUACCAGCUGGCUGCAACUGUUUAUUAAAAACACAGCACUGUGCAAACACGAAAGUGGACGUAUACGGUGUGACGCCUGCCCGGUGCCGGAAGGUUAAUUGAUGGGGUCAGCGCAAGCGAAGCUCCUGAUCGAAGCCCCGGUAAACGGCGGCCGUAACUAUAACGGUCCUAAGGUAGCGAAAUUCCUUGUCGGGUAAGUUCCGACCUGCACGAAUGGCGUAAUGAUGGCCAGGCUGUCUCCACCCGAGACUCAGUGAAAUUGAACUCGCUGUGAAGAUGCAGUGUACCCGCGGCAAGACGGAAAGACCCCGUGAACCUUUACUAUAGCUUGACACUGAACAUUGAGCCUUGAUGUGUAGGAUAGGUGGGAGGCUUUGAAGUGUGGACGCCAGUCUGCAUGGAGCCGACCUUGAAAUACCACCCUUUAAUGUUUGAUGUUCUAACGUGGACCCGUAAUCCGGGUUGCGGACAGUGUCUGGUGGGUAGUUUGACUGGGGCGGUCUCCUCCUAAAGAGUAACGGAGGAGCACGAAGGUUGGCUAAUCCUGGUCGGACAUCAGGAGGUUAGUGCAAUGGCAUAAGCCAGCUUGACUGCGAGCGUGACGGCGCGAGCAGGUGCGAAAGCAGGUCAUAGUGAUCCGGUGGUUCUGAAUGGAAGGGCCAUCGCUCAACGGAUAAAAGGUACUCCGGGGAUAACAGGCUGAUACCGCCCAAGAGUUCAUAUCGACGGCGGUGUUUGGCACCUCGAUGUCGGCUCAUCACAUCCUGGGGCUGAAGUAGGUCCCAAGGGUAUGGCUGUUCGCCAUUUAAAGUGGUACGCGAGCUGGGUUUAGAACGUCGUGAGACAGUUCGGUCCCUAUCUGCCGUGGGCGCUGGAGAACUGAGGGGGGCUGCUCCUAGUACGAGAGGACCGGAGUGGACGCAUCACUGGUGUUCGGGUUGUCAUGCCAAUGGCACUGCCCGGUAGCUAAAUGCGGAAGAGAUAAGUGCUGAAAGCAUCUAAGCACGAAACUUGCCCCGAGAUGAGUUCUCCCUGAGACUUUAAGUCUCCUGAAGGAACGUUGAAGACGACGACGUUGAUAGGCCGGGUGUGUAAGCGCAGCGAUGCGUUGAGCUAACCGGUACUAAUGAACCGUGAGGCUUAACC